rnacentral:sRNA from 1 species
AAGCAGUCUGCAUAUUUGACAGUUUUUAAUAUAGAAAAGUUUGUUUCCAUGGUUUGUUAUGAAGCUAGUCAAUGAGUUCAUAUGUACCGGUAAAUGUUCAGUCUAAAAAUAAAACACUCUCAGGGUUAUGAAGAACAAAGACUUCAAGCUCAUUCCAAACAAAACAAACACUAGAGAAUACUUUCUCUAUUUCAACACCUUAAUUCUUGAAUCAACACCUUUAUUUGUAUCUUGAUGUGUUUCGCUUUUUUUUUAUCCUGUUAUGUUUAUAUGCCUGAAAACCUUUCUUAAAAAAAAUUUCCUCUGACUUUUUUGCUAAAAAAAUAAAAAUCAAUCAAUCAUAUCACAUACAGCCGAUGAUGAAAAUGAUGGAUUGCAGGGGAUCACCAUGGUAUAAUAGAAGCUUAGAAUAAAAUAGAGCAGAAGCCAGUAUUAUGUAUAUGAUUUUUAUGUCUUUAUGUAAUUCAUAUACAGACAAUGUGUUGCCCAUAUUGAAUCACUGUGCGAUUCCUUGCUGAUCUCGCACGCUGUCUCCGAGAUAUAACAAAUAAGCUGUGAUUUUUGAGAUAUAAUGAGCAUUAUUUGUGUACCUGUAUAUUUACAAAUAGUGAUGCAUUCUUUGAGUCCAUUUACAUGUAUUUGUAUAGAGGUAGGUACUGUACAUGUAUUAUGUGUGUUGUUUUGUUCUGACAUUAAUCAUUCAACCAUAAUUUUGUACCAAGUGCAUCUGCUUAAUUAACUUGACACUUUAGGGCAAAAUCUUGCAGAUUAUAUUGAUAGCAACAUGGGGCUGGAUUCUGGCAUGUGCGAAAGCAAUAGACGUUUUUGUGAGGAUGUUUUUUUCUCUCCUCAACAGAUACUGAGUGACAAUUCUACUUAAUUACACUCUUGCAUUUAACAAUUAAAGAUGUAAGAAAUAUUUUUAAUAAUUGCCAGACCAGUCUUUAUUUAGAGUUUCUAUUCUAUAUAAAAUUCUAUUUGUACCUUAUAUAUUGUACAUUGAAAGCUUUAUAACUAAUGCAAAUAAAAAUAAUUCAAUACACAUG